UACAGAGGUCUCAAGCGUUGUUCGGAUUCAUUGGGCGUAAAGGGUGCGUAGGUGGCGCCGUAAGUCAGGUGUGAAAUUUCGGAGCUUAACUCCGAAACUGCAUUUGAUACUGCGGUGCUUUGAGGACUGGAGAGGAGACUGGAAUUUACGGUGUAGCAGUGAAAAUGCGUAGAGAUCGUAAAGGAAGACCAGUGGCGAAAGGCGGG
rnacentral:rRNA from 1 species